rnacentral:rRNA from 1 species
AGAAUCAACGCUGGCGGCGUGCCUAACACAUGCAAGUCGCACGAGAAAGGGACUUCGGUCCUGAGUAAAGUGGCGCACGGGUGAGUAACACGUGAAUCAUCUACCUCCGAGUGGGGAAUAACCUAGAGAAAUCUGGGCUAAUACCGCAUAACACUUACGAGUCAAAGCAGCAAUGCGCUUGGAGAGGAGUUCGCGGCAGAUUAGUUAGUUGGCGGGGUAAUGGCCCACCAAGACGAUGAUCUGUAUCCGGCCUGAGAGGGCGCACGGACACACUGGAACUGAAACACGGUCCAGACUCCUACGGGAGGCAGCAGUGGGGAAUUUUGCGCAAUGGGGGAAACCCUGACGCAGCAACGCCGCGUGGAGGAUGAAAUAUCUUGGUAUGUAAACUCCUUUCGAUGGGGAAGAUAAUGACGGUACCCAUAGAAGAAGCCCCGGCUAACUUCGUGCCAGCAGCCGC